rnacentral:rRNA from 1 species
AUCUCUUCGGAGCAUUUUACGAGGUGCUGCAUGGUUGUCGUCAGCUCGUGCCGUGAGGUGUCGGGUUAAGUCCCAUAACGAGCGCAACCCUACCUUUAGUUGCCAUCAGGUAAUGCUGGGGACUCUAAAGGAACUGCCUACGCAAGUAGUGAGGAAGGCGGGGAUGACGUCAAAUCAGCACGGCCCUUACGUCCAGGGCUACACACGUGCUACAAUGGCCGAUACAGAGGGCAGCUACCUGGUGACAGGAUGCAAAUCUCCAAAGUCGGUCUCAGUUCGGAUCGGAGUCUGCAACCCGACUCCGUGAAGUUGGAUUCGCUAGUAAUCGCGCAUCAGCCAUGGCGCGGUGAAUACGUUCCCGGGCCUU